rnacentral:rRNA from 1 species
GGGUUGUGAGGUUAAGCGAAUAAGCGUACACGGUGGAUGCCUAGGCAAUCAGAGGCGAUGAAGGACGUGCUAAUCUGCGAAAAGCGUCGGUAAGGUGAUAUGAACCGUUAUACCCGACGAUAUCCGAAUGGGGAAACCCAGUAUCCAAUGGAUACUAUCAUUAACUGAAUCCAUAGGUUAAUGAGGCGAACCGGGAGAACUGAAACAUCUCAGUACCCCGAGGAAAAGAAAUCAACCGAGAUUCCCCUAGUAGCGGCGAGCGAACGGGGAGCAGCCCAGAGUCUUAAUCAAUAGCAGUGUCAGGAGAACGGUCUGGAAAGUCCGGCAGUAAAGGGUGAUAGCCCCGUAUCUGAAGAUGCUGUUAUUGUGAACUCGACGAGUAGGGCGGGACACGUGUUAUCCUGUCUGAAUAUGGGGGGACCAUCCUCCAAGGCUAAAUACUCCUGAUUGACCGAUAGUGAACCAGUACCGUGAGGGAAAGGCGAAAAGAACCCCGGCGAGGGGAGUGAAAAAGAACCUGAAACCGUGUACGUACAAGCAGUAGGAGCCUCUUUAUGGGGUGACUGCGUACCUUUUGUAUAAUGGGUCAGCGACUUAUAUUCUGUAGCAAGGUUAACCGUAUAGGGGAGCCGUAGGGAAACCGAGUCUUAACUGGGCGAAUGAGUUGCAGGGUAUAGACCCGAAACCCGGUGAUCUAUCCAUGGGCAGGUUGAAGGUUGGGUAACACUAACUGGAGGACCGAACCGACUAAUGUUGAAAAAUUAGCGGAUGACUUGUGGAUGGGGGUGAAAGGCCAAUCAAACCGGGAGAUAGCUGGUUCUCCCCGAAAGCUAUUUAGGUAGCGCCUCGUGAACUCAUCUUCGGGGGUAGAGCACUGUUUCGACUAGGGGGUCAUCCCGACUUACCAACUCGAUGCAAACUGCGAAUACCGAAGAAUGUUAUCACGGGAGACACACGGCGGGUGCUAACGUCCGUCGUGAAGAGGGAAACAACCCAGACCGCCAGCUAAGGUCCCAAAGUCAUGGUUAAGUGGGAAACGAAGUGGGAAGGCUCAGACAGCCAGGAUGUUGGCUUAGAAGCAGCCAUCAUUUAAAGAAAGCGUAAUAGCUCACUGGUCGAGUCGGCCCGCGCGGAAGAUGUAACGGGGCUAAACCAUGCACCGAAGCUGCGGCAGCGACACAUAGUGUUGUUGGGUAGGGGAGCGUUCUGUAAGCCUGCGAAGGUGUACUGUGAGGUAUGCUGGAGGUAUCAGAAGUGCGAAUGCUGACAUAAGUAACGAUAAUGCGGGUGAAAAACCCGCACGCCGGAAGACCAAGGGUUCCUGUCCAACGUUAAUCGGGGCAGGGUGAGUCGACCCCUAAGGCGAGGCUGAAAAGCGUAGUCGAUGGGAAACGGGUUAAUAUUCCCGUACUGGUGGUAACUGCGAUGGGGGAACGGAGAAGGCUAGGUUGUCCGGGCGACGGUCGUCCCGGUUCAAGCAGGUAGGCAGAGUGAUUAGGCAAAUCCGGUCACUUAAUGCUGAGAUGUGAUGACGAACCACCAAGGUGGUGAAGCAAUUGAUGCCCCGCUUCCAGGAAAAGCCUCUAAGCUUCAGGUUACCAACAAUCGUACCCCAAACCGACACAGGUGGUCAGGUAGAGAAUACUCAGGCGCUUGAGAGAACUCGGGUGAAGGAACUAGGCAAAAUGGUGCCGUAACUUCGGGAGAAGGCACGCUGGCGGUAGGUAAAGUCCCUCGCGGACGGCGCUGAAGCCAGUCGAAGAUACCAGCUGGCUGCAACUGUUUAUUAAAAACACAGCACUGUGCAAACACGAAAGUGGACGUAUACGGUGUGACGCCUGCCCGGUGCUGGAAGGUUAAUUGAUGGGGUCAGCCGUAAGGCGAAGCUCCUGAUCGAAGCCCCAGUAAACGGCGGCCGUAACUAUAACGGUCCUAAGGUAGCGAAAUUCCUUGUCGGGUAAGUUCCGACCUGCACGAAUGGCGUAAUGAUGGCCAGGCUGUCUCCACCCGAGACUCAGUGAAAUUGAACUCGCUGUGAAGAUGCAGUGUACCCGCGGCAAGACGGAAAGACCCCGUGAACCUUUACUAUAGCUUGACACUGAACAUUGAGCCUUGAUGUGUAGGAUAGGUGGGAGGCUUUGAAGUGUGGACGCCAGUCUGCAUGGAGCCAACCUUGAAAUACCACCCUUUAACGUUUGAUGUUCUAACCUAGGCCCAUAAACUGGGUCGGGGACCGUGUCUGGUGGGUAGUUUGACUGGGGCGGUCUCCUCCUAAAGAGUAACGGAGGAGCACGAAGGUUGGCUAAGCAUGGUCGGACAUCAUGCGGUUAGUGCAAAGGCAUAAGCCAGCUUGACUGCGAGAGUGACGGCUCGAGCAGGUACGAAAGUAGGUCUUAGUGAUCCGGUGGUUCUGAAUGGAAGGGCCAUCGCUCAACGGAUAAAAGGUACUCCGGGGAUAACAGGCUGAUACCGCCCAAGAGUUCAUAUCGACGGCGGUGUUUGGCACCUCGAUGUCGGCUCAUCACAUCCUGGGGCUGAAGUAGGUCCCAAGGGUAUGGCUGUUCGCCAUUUAAAGUGGUACGCGAGCUGGGUUUAGAACGUCGUGAGACAGUUCGGUCCCUAUCUGCCGUGGGCGUUGGAAGAUUGAGAGGGGUUGCUCCUAGUACGAGAGGACCGGAGUGAACGCACCACUGGUGUUCGGGUUGUCAUGCCAAUGGCAUUGCCCGGUAGCUAAGUGCGGAAGAGAUAACCGCUGAAAGCAUCUAAGCGGGAAACUUGCCUCGAGAUGAGUCUUCCCUGUCACUUUAAGUGACCUAAAGGAACGUUUAAGACUAAGACGUUGAUAGGCUGGGUGUGUAAGCGUAGCGAUACGUUGAGCUAACCAGUACUAAUGAACCGUGAGGCUUAACCUGACAACACCGAAAGUGUUUUG